rnacentral:rRNA from 1 species
UACGUAGGGGGCAAGCGUUGUUCGGAAUUACUGGGCGUAAAGGGCGCGUAGGCGGCAUGGCAAGUCGGAAGUGAAAGCCCGGGGCUCAACCCCGGAGCUGCUUACGAAACUGCCAAGCUAGAGUACGGAAGGGGCAACUGGAAUUCCCAGUGUAGCGGUGAAAUGCGUAGAUAUUGGGAAGAACACCGGAGGCGAAGGCGGGUUGCUGGGCCGAUACUGACGCUGAGGCGCGAAAGCCAGGGGAGCAAACGGG